UACGAAGGGGGCUAGCGUUGUUCGGAAUUACUGGGCGUAAAGCGCACGUAGGCGGACAUUUAAGUCAGGGGUGAAAUCCCGGGGCUCAACCCCGGAACGGCCUUUGAUACUGGGUGUCUUGAGUUCGGAAGAGGUGAGUGGAAUUGCGAGUGUAGAGGUGAAAUUCGUAGAUAUUCGCAGGAACACCAGUGGCGAAAGGCGGCUCACUGGUCCGAUACUGACGCUGAGGUGCGAAAGCGUGGGGAGCAAACAGG
rnacentral:rRNA from 1 species